rnacentral:rRNA from 1 species
UACGUAGGGGGCAAGCGUUGUCCGGAAUCAUUGGGCGUAAAGCGCGUGUAGGCGGUCCGGUAAGUCCGCUGUGAAAGUCGGGGGCUUAACCCUCGGAUGCCGGUGGAUACUGUCGGGCUUGAGUACGGAAGAGGCGAGUGGAAUUCCUGGUGUAGCGGUGAAAUGCGCAGAUAUCAGGAGGAACACCAAUUGCGAAGGCAGCUCGCUGGGACGUUACUGACGCUGAGACGCGGAAGCGUGGGGAGCAAACAGG